rnacentral:rRNA from 10 species
GCGACCCCAGGUCAGGCGGGACUACCCGCUGAGUUUAAGCA